CGGCACAGUACGCCUCAAGCCCCUCAGCGUACCCUGCAUGGAGGAGAGAGAUAAAACAAAAAAACUGCCAUGAAGAUUGCAGUCAGAGAAGAGUCAUCACCGGAGGAAUCUGAGUGCCCUUCCCUUAGGAGAGGAGACUGGUUGCGAUGCAGUUGAAAGCUGGUGUACACAGCUGCCUGGUAAUAGUAAAGUACGGUAGAUGGAGAGAGAGUAACUUGUUUAAGGGAAUCAUCCCUUUGGGGCUUGCACCACAUCUGGUUAGUAAAAUUUUUGUAAUAUGAUUUCUCUUAAAUUCUUUAUUGCCUGAUGUUGCACUUGAUUGUUAAAGCGCUUUCCCAAGAAACAUAUAUCUCUAAGUGCUCUAAAACAGGUGUUCUCAAACCGUUGUAUAUGUAACACAAAGCAGUACUAAGUUGUAAACAAUUUGUGUGAAUAUGAAAAAAUUAUUGGGUUAACCAAAGUAUCCAAACCUAUUAAAUUACUUAAUUAUUUAAAA